AUCACUUGCUGUUGUGGUGUGGGACCAGGGAUAUGGUUGCAGUAGAAGCUACUGCUGCUAUCCAUUCAUUCCUCUCCUUGCACUGCACAGAUACACACGCAGAGAGAGAAUGGCAAUUACCGUUAUCUCAGUUCCAACACCUCGUCAAACCAUUUUCUCUCAGCGCCCUUAUAGUAACACCAACACGUGCUUAAAUGGCUCACCAACUAUUAUUAGAUACCCAUCUAAGUUCAUUAUUCCUCGUUCUUCUUCUUCUUCCUCCUCAACUCCCGUUGUAGAUGAUGGUCCUACGCCACCUUCACCAGAUCCUCUUCCUGUCCAGUCAGAAUCUGCUGCUGUAGAUGCUGAGGAGUUUGCUAUUGGGGGUUGUAAGGCCUGUGGAAGACCAGAACUUGAGAGGGGCUGCAAUGGUGAGGGUAGGAUUCAAGGUGGCAUCGCAACAGUUCCAGGAUUUGGUUGGUGGCCGAUAAAGGCUUAUAGGCCUUGUCCUGGAUUUGUGGCAGCAGGUGGUAGGUAUAGGCGACGAGGGCAAAGCAUGGAUGAAGUUGCCUUUGGGAGGGGGGAGAAAGGAGGGAGCAGCACUGAGGUUGAGUCCAGCAAGAAGAGGCGAGAUCCGACAACUUUUAAGAGGUAAUGGAAGGAGCUGUUCUUCCCUCUAGCUCAAUUGAUACAAGCAAAGUUGAAGUUUCUUGUUAAUGAAAAGAAAACAUACAACUAAAUUCCAGUUGAUUUGAGAUGUAUUUUUGUUGGAAAAACGAUUUACUUUACUAUAAUGGUCAAAAUAGCAAGCGCUGAGCUUUCCCUCCAUUGGUGAUGUUCUGCUGCAACCAAAUGCCGUGGGCAACCAGCUGCUUUCCAGUGAUACACUUCGAAUGUGAUCGCGGAUUUAUUUUUGGUAGGUUAGUCUUUCUGUAUCUUAAGUACUAACUAUUUUGGGAAUGGCUAAUUGUCUUGUAUGUUGUUCAUGGAUUUAUCUUAAAGUGUCCUCUUCCAUAUUAGUAUUAGGUUAUGAAGUAGAAUUCACUGAGCUUUAUACUAUACUAGCCAUGAAUUGGACAAUUGAGUCUGUAACCACUUGUAUUUAUGACUCUCAUUUAUUUUAAACAAGAACACUAAACCAUCAUUUUUGAUUAACA